rnacentral:RNase_P_RNA from 1 species
CGGUAUCAGCAGGCAGUCGCGGGCCGCCAAGCGCAAGCUUCGCGCGUCCUGAGGAACGUCCGAGCAUCAAAGGGUGACAGCGGUGGGUAACGCCCACGUCGAUCGCGAGCCGGCGGCCGACGGACAGGCAACAGAAAACACACCGCCGAUGGCCCGCCGCAAGGCGGGCACAGGUAAGGGUGAAAUGGUGCGGUAAGAGCGCACCGCCCGCGUGGUGACACGCGGGGCAUGGCCACCAUGCUGGAUGCAAGACCAAGCAGCUUCCUUCGAUUGCGAUUCGUCGCGUCGAACGCCUGACCCGGGCGGCAUGGAAGCGGGUGGGUCGCAUGAGCGUCUCGGCAACGAGGCGCCGAGAGAAAUGACUGCCCCGCCGUGGGCAUGCGCUCGCAAGAGUGUUUCGACCACGGCGCGACAGAACUCGGCGUAUCGCUGAUAUCCGGCU